UACAGAGGGGGCAAGCGUUGUUCGGAAUUACUGGGCGUAAAGGGCGCGUAGGCGGCCUUCUAAGUCGAACGUGAAAUCCCCGGGCUUAACCUGGGAACUGCGUUUCUAACUGGCAGGCUUGAGUGUGGCAGAGGGGGGUGGAAUUCCGACGUGUAGCAGUGAAAUGCGCAGAUAUCGGGAGGAACGACCGUGUGGCCGAAGG
rnacentral:rRNA from 1 species